rnacentral:rRNA from 1 species
GCUAUACAUGCAGUCGAGCGGACAGAAGGGAGCUUGCUCCCGGAUGUUAGCGGCGGACGGGUGAGUAACACGUGGGUAACCUGCCUGUAAGACUGGGAUAACUCCGGGAAACCGGAGCUAAUACCGGAUAGUUCCUUGAACCGCAUGGUUCAAGGAUGAAAGACGGUUUCGGCUGUCACUUACAGAUGGACCCGCGGCGCAUUAGCUAGUUGGUGAGGUAACGGCUCACCAAGGCGACGAUGCGUAGCCGACCUGAGAGGGUGAUCGGCCACACUGGGACUGAGACACGGCCCAGACUCCUACGGGAGGCAGCAGUAGGGAAUCUUCCGCAAUGGACGAAAGUCUGACGGAGCAACGCCGCGUGAGUGAUGAAGGUUUUCGGAUCGUAAAGCUCUGUUGUUAGGGAAGAACAAGUGCAAGAGUAACUGCUUGCACCUUGACGGUACCUAACCAGAAAGCCACGGCUAACUACGUGCCAGCAGCCGCGGUAAUACGUAGGUGGCAAGCGUUGUCCGGAAUUAUUGGGCGUAAAGGGCUCGCAGGCGGUUUCUUAAGUCUGAUGUGAAAGCCCCCGGCUCAACCGGGGAGGGUCAUUGGAAACUGGGAAACUUGAGUGCAGAAGAGGAGAGUGGAAUUCCACGUGUAGCGGUGAAAUGCGUAAAGAUGUGGAGGAACACCAGUGGCGAAGGCGACUCUCUGGUCUGUAACUGACUCUGAUGAGCGAAAGCGUGGGGAG